UACCAAACUGCUCUCGACAUGAUGCCACUACGUUCACGAUCCCAGGCCCAUUAAAUGUUAGGACUUUUCGGUACAACGGUGUAUGCGCUGUGCGAAUUUGUAAUAUUUAAAGAGUGCCUGAAGCGCUUUUGCCGGCAGAACUACGAUGAUGCUUUUAAAUCGUUGCUCCUAGCAAACACUGGAACACACGUUUAGAAGCGAGCUGUACAGGAGGUUGUAAAUGGUGACAUCGGAAAUCGGGACAAUUUAUAAUUGAACGUGUGAAUAAGGAUAUCAUGGACUCCUAUAUAAACACACACAACAUACCCAAAGCAACACGCAAUACAAAAACCGUAGACCUUUGGUUGCGGAUAUCUUUGCUCUAUCUAUACGGUGAUUGGGAUGGCAGCCAUCGCUAUAGCGUGACCUCAGCGUAUUCGAUAUAACAAAUAAUAGUUGGAUAGUGAUUUUCGAACAAGUCGAGCUUUUUAAUGAACGUACUCCAUUUUCCAGUCACCAAAUGUUCUUUCGUGUCCUAAAAUAUUGUUCAUAGUUAUUAUCAAACGGAGGAAACAAGAAAUUGUAUUCGUUUUUAAUUUAACUAAAUAUUAGUGGAACUAGAAUGGUGGCAAAAAUUUAA
rnacentral:lncRNA from 1 species